CCCAGCAGGGGGCCUCGGGGGACACGGUGGGAAAUUGGUGAGGCCGCGGCCCCGUGCAGAGCCCCGAAGCCGCCAGUGCCCUGGGGAGGGAGCCGCUGACCUGGCAGCUGGUCCGGGGGCUGUGCCAGGGGGCGCCCCCCACCGGGCUGGGCUGCAGAGGGGAACCUAAGGGAGGAGGGCAGCCCCCGGGCAGGGGAGGAGCCCCCGGAGGCCCCCCCAGGGCCUGCCGCCCCAAGUACCUGCCCAGGCCCUCGCCACGGACUCCCCUGCCCGGGGUCACGGGCUGGACUUUGGCCGCGGGUCAGGGAUUCAGGUGGGCGGGCACCUCUCCUGCGACUCCCGUGUGUCGUGCACCUGAGUGGCCCCUGGCAGCGCGGCUGGCGGGGGGCAGGCUGCACAUCUGCCGCCGGCCUGAAGGAUGCACGGGCCCCGCAAGCCCCGGUAGCCCGGGGACGAAGCUGCCCAGCCCUGCCGUGGGCGUGGGGACGCCCCUGCACGGCUGCCCCGGCCACCCCUGACCCACCCCCUCUGUGCCCGCAGGUUCACCGGAGCCAGCCUCCCCGCUCCCGUCAUCAGCAGCAAGAACUGGCUGCGGCUGCACUUUACGUCGGACGGCAACCACCGGCAGCGGGGCUUCAGUGCCCAGUACCAAGUCAAGAAGCAAAUUGAGCUGAAGUCUCGAGGGGUGAAGCUGAUGCCCAGCAAACACAGCAGCCAGAAGACGUCAGUGUGUAAGUGCCGCGCGGCCGCCGGGCCUAUUGCUUGAGGUCACAGCCGCGGGUGCAG
rnacentral:lncRNA from 1 species